CCCUGGUAGCCUAGCGGGUUGAGGAUCCAGCAUUCUCACUACUGGGGCAUGGGUUCAAUCCACAUGCCACAAGCAUGGCCAAAAUAAAUAAAUAAAAUAAAAAAUAAAAAUUAAGAAGACCCAAAAAUCCAAACAUCUAGAUAAAUCAUUAUUAAAAUUUGGCAUGUCCUUGCAGAAUAUUUUUUUUUUGGUGCAUUCAAAAAUAUAACCAAUAUAUUGAAAGGUUUAGUAAUCUGCAUUCUCCCUAGGCAUAAUUGUAAUCAUUACAUAGUAUUACAAUUUAAAUAAUAAUAACUAAUGUUUUAAGUGACUACGUUGCAAAAAAUAAUGAAGUUAUCAUUUGACAUUCAGAAAGCAAGACUGUGGAGUUCUCGUUGUGAAGCAGGGAGCUAAGAUCCUGACAUAGUGUCUGUCAGGAUGUGGGGUUGAUCCCUGGCCUCACUCAGUGGGUUAAGGAUCUGGCAUUGGUGCAAGCCAUGGCUGGGAUCUGGAGUUCUUGUGGCUGUGGUGUAGGCCGGCAGCUGCAGACUGCAGCUCUAAUUUGGACCCCUAACCCUGGAAACUCCAUAUGCUGCCAGUGAUGCCAUAAAAAGACAAGAAAGAAAGAAAGAAAGAGAGAGAGAGAGAGAGAGAGAGAGAGAGAGAGAAGGAAGGAAGGAUGGAAGGAGGGAAGGAAGGAAGGAAAAUACGACCUAUUUUCCUACUGCCUCCUUUAAAACCCAAGUGUAAAAAAGUUUAAAUUCACUAGGAGUCAGAUGAGUGAACAGUUCACUUGGAAUUUACUUAUUUUGUGGGGAAGGCACAGGCUGGAAUGUUAGAAAGACCUGCUUAAGGACUCUGUCCUGUGACCUGAUGUCAUAUAUAUAUAUAUCCCUGGAGGAUAUUAUAAUCAUGAAACCUGUCUCUCCUUUGGUAAAAUCUGGCCUGUUUCUCUGAUGCUCUGCUUGUCAUCUGUUUAAAGCAAGGAUGAAACAUUUCUUUGGAGCCAAUUUUCUGCUAGCUCAGGGCUAUCAACAUUCAGUGCUUUGGGGAAUCACUUCAAAAAGUUGUCUGUGAACUACUUUGUUUGCCUCAUCAUUAGAAUUGUAGAUGUUAAUCUUAUAUUUUGGUGUUUUGUUUUAUACACCUGCCAAAGUAAUUCAGUAUACUUGGAUUCAGUUUAGAGUCUGACAUCCUUGAGUUUGAUGUUUGAAACCAUGGUGGGGGGCGAGAUUUACAUUUUAGUAAUAUUAUCUCCAUAGAAACACCUCGAAAUCUUCUAAAAUCAUCUUUAGUGUGUAGUUAUUUUAUCUGAGCUAUCCAAGGGGUAGAGAGUAAAGGCAUAUGAAAGCCUUUUGUAAAAGGGUUAGAGUACACUUUUGCUGCCUAAUCUCUGUUUCAAGUACAAUCUUUCUCAAAGUCAUUACCUCCAAGUUUCUCUGCCAAGUCUUCCAUCAGAAGAUGUAAGAUUUCCUGCUAAAAACUGUCUUUUGCAUUUCCUCUAAUCUGUCUCGUAGAUGUGUAUAUGCUGAGAUGUCAGAAGCCUUUAUAUAUCAUUUCUCUGUUGGAGGAAUUUUCCUCAGUUAAAUGUGUGUCCCUAUUCUCAAUUCAAAAUCCAGAAAUGUAUUGUCCUUGUCUUCCUUGCAGCAGGACACGGGCAUGUGACCUAGACCCUCCCAACUCAGAAAUACCCUCACAAGAGAGCAGCCUGGGGAAGCAUUCACCUGUGGGCAUUAUUUUCAGGUGAGCCUGGGGACCAAGAUGUCUGGCCUCUGAAGACAGCAGGGUUCAGGCUCUGGAUCCAGGGUCCAGGACAGCUGAGUACACGUCCCUAUGGAAAAUAAUAGUGGGGUCGGCGGAAGCAGUCCCUGGACUUUGUUCUUAUUGCAGACACCCAGCUCUGACCCAAUCUCCACUUCAGAUAUAUUUUGAGCCACCUAAUGGGCAAAGCAGAUUCCCCUUCCCCUUAAGAUGAAAGGAAAUUUGUGGUUUGCAAUUCUAAAUCCCGAGAAACAUACCCUAUCCCAUUCCCCACUGUGCUUCACCCAUUGUCUCUCCAGUGUAGGCGCAGUGUCUUAUUUCUCUUGAUCUUUUUCCUCAUCUUUAUCCACCAUCACAACUAGCACUGUUUCACAGGUGUACACAUCCAUCAACUCUAUAAUUGGUUUUUGAGUCAAAUUGAAUUACCUUAAAACAGCACCAGGCAGAGGUAAGAAUUGUUUACCUUCCUCUUAUGAACAAAAGAGGCUUUCUCCUACACUCUUCGCAAAUAAUACUUAAUAUUUGUUUUGAGAGCAAAAUUUGUAUCUCUGUUAAUGUGAAUGCAGAUUUUCUUUUCUUUUCUUUCUCCCUUCCUUCUUUCUCUUUCUUUCUUUCUUUCCUUCUUUCUUUCUCUUUCUUUCAUGGCUGCAUCUGUGGCAUGUGGAAGUUCCCAGGCCAAGGAUUGAACAUGUGCCACUGCUGUGACCCAAACAGCUGCAGCGACAAUGGCUGGAUCCUUUAACUUGCUGUGCCACAAGAUUUUCUGGACAGGGCUGGUAGAGGAAAACUGGACCAGACAGGUUUACUGAUUUGCAAAUGUGAAGAGGAAAUCCAUCCAUAUGAUUUUCAGAACCCAAGCGAAAAUGAAGUAUAGCAACUGUGAUUAAAUCUUUCUAUUGAACGGUCAGAUUUUGCUUGCCCUGGUCUAAGUCAAUGUGAUGUAAUGGAUAUACGGAAAAUAAAUUGAAACACUUGUGUUCAACUCCUGCUCCUUUCCUUAGCUCUGUGAUCUUGCAUAAGUUAUGACUUUUGAAACUUGGCUUUAUUCAUUUUUAAAUGAGAUUUCCCCCCCCGCCCAGGGUCAAAUCUGAGGCGUAUAGAGGUUCCCAAGUGAGGGGUCAAAUUAGAGCUACAGCUGCCGGUCUAUGCCACAGCCACAGCAAUGCCAGAUUGAGCCUCUUCUGCAACCUACACCACAGCUCAAAACAACGCUUGAUCCUUAACCCACUGAUUGAGAUGGGGGAUCGAACCUGCAUCCUAUUGGAUGCUAGUCAGAUUUGUUUCCACUGAGCCCUGAUGGGAACUCCUUAAAUGAGAUCGUUAACACACUGUCCACCUUAAAAACUUGUUAUGCGGGUAGGAGAAUGAAAUUGUUAGCAUAGGAUAAUGCUUUAUUACUUCUAGUAAGGAUUAUAAAAAUUAUUAUUCUUAGUGUUUUUAUUUUUUCUUCUAGAAUAUUGUUCUUCUAUUGAAAACUUUCUAAGUACUCCAGAACAUUUGAGAUUAAAGUAAGAAACAUAUGUUGAAUAUCUGCUUCCUUAAAUAUAAUUUUUCCAUUUUCAUGGGUUUUAUUGAAAUGAAUACAUAAUAUACUUAUACUUUGGAGAGUAUUAAAACUUUAAAAAAUGUGUCUAUAUAUGAUAAUUAAAUAAGAGAACGUUUCUGUUACGAUUUUUGAGCCACAAGGGAAAGAUACUCGAGUGUAGCCGACAUAACCACCCCAAAAGGAAUUAUCCUUUUCUCUUUUCAUGGAACUGGGAAGUUGAAGGACAAAUUUUCAGGCAUAGCUGGAUUCAGGUACCUAAAUACUGUCAUCAGAAGGCUUUCAAAUUCGGAUUUCUCUAAGUUGGUUUGCAUCUGGACUCUUUGAGUGUGAGGGCAAAGUUGACUACUGGAAUCUCUAUACUUAUGUUUAGCAACCCCAAGAGACAGGUGUGGCUUUUCCAGACAUGGCCAGCAAAGUUCCACGUGUCCUAUAUCUGAUCCAUUCACUGUAUUCAGGAGAAUGUGGCGGUGUUGGAGAGCACUGUCCAAAUCUGGAUCACAUGCCUACUCCUGUUGCUGGUACAGUCAACAAUCUUUGAACCUCAGGGAUUGAGAAUGGGUGGGAGAAAACACUCAAACGAAGAGACUAAACAGAAAAAUUAUGCCCACUUCACACAUUUUCUUUCUUUUUUGUGGGGGGAGGGCCUGAACCCACAGCAUAUGGAAUUUUCAGGCUAGGGGUCUCAUCAGAGCUGCAGCUGCCAACCUAUGCCACAGCCACAGCAAUGCCAGAUCUGAGCCACAUCUGUGACCUACACCACAGCUCAUGGUAAUGUCAGAUCCUUAACCCACUGAUCAAGGACAGGAAUGGAACCCGAUUCCUUGUGGAUACUAGUCAGUUUGGUUACCACUGAGCCACAAUAGGAACUGCAUUGCUUCAUACAUUUUGAGAAGCAACCAAGGCCAAUGUAUUAAGAAAUGGUGCUUAAAUUUGCUUCAGUGAAGUGUUGUUCUCUAUUGCUUUUCUGUCUAAUUUAGGCAACUUAGACACUCUGUUAUCUCGAGACAGGUUGUUUUGCAACAUUACCAAGGAUAUGAAUGAUGCUAGGGUGCCCAUGUUAUCAUCAAGGUGGACAGAUGCCUAAAGAGUAUUUCUAAGAUGGCCAAAAAGAGACAAACAAUAAAGUGGUUUGCGAGAAGAAAAUGCUGCAGAAUACGACCAUUUGGAGCUUGCUCUUGUGAAUUUUUAAUAAAAGGCACCCAGAAAGCAGAGCUGUCAUGCCUUCAUUAAGCGUGAUGUGGAGGCUGCUAUUAAACAGGCCACACAUUCCAAGUGGACAUAGUGCACCACAGGGCAGAAAGGGCUCAGAGUGUAUUAGCUUUCAGUACAAUGCUUCCUUCUCAUAAUACAUAGUAAAAGUGAAACACAGGAUUCUCUAAUACCAAAAGCAGAUAUGCAGAAGUGAGCAGAGACGUUAUUUAGAAUUGGAGCAUUUAAGUCCCAAUCCCAGUUCUGCCAAGAACUUGGCAUGUAUCUUAAGGCAGUUCCUUUUCUAUCUUGACCUUCAUUUCUUCGUCCAUAAAUUCAAGGACUUGAAUGUGAUGAUAACAAAGAACACUUCCUGCCCAUUAACUUUAUCCUACUAGUUCUAGGUUUUUAUUCUUUUGUAAAUUUAAUUUUUUAAUAUAGGUAAUACAUUCUCAUGAUUCAAAAUGCAAAAUAACAUAAAAAGAACACUGUGGAAACCUCAUCCUCACAGCCCUGCCAUAUCUAGCAUGUUCUGUACUAAUCUCCACUUUUAUUAAUUUCUUUGAUAUCUUUCCAGAGCUUCUUUUGUAAAUUUUUAAAUGGAAUUAUAGUCAAUUCAUAGGGAUAUUAGUUUCUUAAUCCCGUAUCCCUAUCCAGAGUUUCCUUGUGAAAAUUCAAGUAAAUACAUAUUCGUCCUCCUGUUCAGUUUUUCACAUAGAAGUUAGUAUACACCUUUACUCCCGCUGAAUAUAUUGUGGGGCUCUUUUCAUACCACUAUAUAAGUCACUUCUUCAUUCUUGAUUUAGCCUCCUGAAUUCCAUUAUUUCCAAUAUUUUGUUCUUAGAAAUAAUGCUAUGCAUGCAGAUAGACCUGUAAGAUUAAGACCAGGUCUAAAGUAACUCAUACUCAACCUGAAUACUGUGGGAGGGCCUAUUUCUUUACAGGGUCACCAACAGAGUAUGUCGAAACACACUUAGACUUUGCUAAUCUGAUUGAUUAAAAAAUCUUAGUACAGUUUUCCAUUUUAAUUUUAUUACAAAUAAAUAUUCAGCAGAUUGACUACUAGCAGGCCUGUGUGAGGAACUCUGUUGAUCUGCUUCCCAGAGAAACUGCGGAAAUUAUGAAA
rnacentral:lncRNA from 1 species